UUGAGUGUACCGUUCGAAUAAGCGCCGGCUAACUACGUGCCAGCAGCCGCGGUAAUACGUAGGGCGCAAGCGUUAUCCGGAUUCAUUGGGCGUAAAGGGCUCGUAGGCGGUUCGUCGCGUCCGGUGUGAAAGCCCAUCGCUUAACGGUGGGUCUGCGCCGGGUACGGGCGGGCUGGAGUGCGGCAGGGGAGGCUGGAAUUCCCGGUGUAACGGUGGAAUGUGUAGAUAUCGGGAGGAACACCAAUGGCGAAGGCAGGUCUCUGGGCCGUUACUGACGCUGAGGAGCGAAAGCGUGGGGAGCGAACAGGAUUAGAUACCCUGGUAGUCCACGCCGUAAACGGUGGACGCUGGAUGUGGGGCCCUUUCCACGGGUUCCGUGUCGGAGCUAACGCGUUAAGCGUCCCGCCUGGGGAGUACGGCCGCAAGGCUAAAACUCAAAGAAAUUGACGGGGGCCCGCACAAGCGGCGGAGCAUGCGGAUUAAUUCGAUGCAACGCGAAGAACCUUACCUGGGCUUGACAUGUUCCCGACGAUCGUAGAGAUACGGUUUCCCUUCGGGGCGGGUUCACAGGUGGUGCAUGGUCGUCGUCAGCUCGUGUCGUGAGAUGUUGGGUUAAGUCCCGCAACGAGCGCAACCCUCGCCCCGUGUUGCCAGCAUUUUAAGAUGGGAACUCACGGGGGACCGCCGGGGUUAACUCGGAGGAAGGUGGGGAUGACGUCAGAUCAUCAUGCCCCUUACGUCCAGGGCUUCACGCAUGCUACAAUGGCCGGUACAGCGGGAUGCGACAUGGCGACAUGGAGCGGAUCCCUGAAAACCGGUCUCAGUUCGGAUCGGAGCCUGCAACCCGGCUCCGUGAAGGCGGAGUCGCUAGUAAUCGCGGAUCAGCAACGCCGCGGUGAAUGCGUUCCCGGGCCUUGUACACACCGCCCGUCAAGUCAUGAAAGUGGGCAGCACCCGAAGCCGGUGGCCCAACCUUUAUUGGGGGGAGCCGUCUAAGGUGAGGCUCGUGAUUGGGACUAAGUCGUAACAAGGUAGCCGUACCGGAAGGUGCGGCUGGAUCACCUCCUUU
rnacentral:rRNA from 1 species